AACGAACGCUGGCGGCAGGCCUAACACAUGCAAGUCGAGCGCACCCUUCGGGGUGAGCGGCGGACGGGUGCGUAACGCGUGGGAACGUGCCCUUCUCUGCGGAAUAGCCUCGGGAAACGGAGAGUAAUACCGCAUACGCCCUUUGGGGGAAAGAUUUAUCGGAGAAGGAUCGGCCCGCGUUGGAUUAGGUAGUUGGUGGGGUAAUGGCCCACCAAGCCGACGAUCCAUAGCUGGUUUGAGAGGAUGAUCAGCCACACUGGGACUGAGACACGGCCCAGACUCCUACGGGAGGCAGCAGUGGGGAAUCUUAGACAAUGGGGGCAACCCUGAUCCAGCCAUGCCGCGUGAGUGAUGAAGGCCUUAGGGUUGUAAAGCUCUUUUAGCUGGGAAGAUAAUGACGGUACCAGCAGAAGAAGCCCCGGCUAACUCCGUG
rnacentral:rRNA from 1 species